CAACCAGAACGUUUAUCUCAGUUGAUUCACCCAUGCUGGUGUUAAAACUUCUGCUUCACAUGCACACUGUUGAUAAAUUAAAGACACAGAAAGAAAAACAAAAGCAAAGUUAGGAGAGUCAAUGAUGGUGACAACUCAAAGGAACUGAGAGAUGGCUCUAGUGAUUUAAAUAGCCUGCAAAGCUCGGGCACGAGGCAGCGAUCGCAACAACAACUAAUUUACAGUAGACGCAGUUAUCCAGAGCGAAUAACAGGAGUAAAUCGGGCAGAUGAUAAACUUCCCAAAAUAUUCAGGACAUCAGCAGGGCUGAGUGUAAAAGCAGGAUGACCAGUCCUAUUGUCGAGCCAUACUGGGCAACCGGAGGUAUGUCAACAAUGUUUAUCAACAUAAUGGAAUAUUGUAUAUGUGCUUAUUGACGAUGAAUUGUGCUGUGGGAAGACAAUAUCAACAAUUGACACAGACACAGUUGAUAUGGUGAAUAAUAUUAGACCGACACAAAGGCUGUCAGUUUAUUUCCAGGCCAAGUUUCUGUGCUGUAUUUGUUUUUUCAAGGUGUGUCUGGCCUGCCUGACAUCAUCUUUCCCCGGGAGUUAAGUGGGCCUACAGAAAAGUACUCAGAACAGCCUGAAAGUGAAGUCUGGGGAUGGAGUGACUCUUCACUCCCUGAAAGGGCCUGUGUUACAGGCAGAAGAUGUGCAUCUCUCCACCAGAUGGAAAGAUCCCACUCUCUGGAAACGUAGUCUCCCUGAUGUAUUUUGGCGGAGCGUGAAGUCUGCGGGUGACGGGGGUCGACGGCCACUCCCUGGAGAGACCCCUACCUACCCCGGGACUGGAGCCUGAUACAGAGGAGGCCUCUGACGAGCUCAUCCCUGGGCUCCACCUCCAGGGAUCCGGCGCAGCCUGGUCCUGCAUCCAGUACCCCAUGCAGGCCCGCCUGUAUGCCCUGUGUCCCUGCAACCCCCAGACUCCCACUGAGUCUGAGCAGGGCAUUCUCAGUCUAGAGGUGGAGAAUAAGGUGAAGUUCAGAGACAGGCACAAAGAGGCUCAAGAGGAGGAGGAUACGGCAGCCCUGAGGUCUAAAGUCAUACAGUAUGAUCCCGAGAGAGACUUCUCCAACUACGGAAUCACACCUCCAAGGGGGGUUCUCCUUUAUGGCCCCCCGGGAACAGGAAAGACUGUGAUUGGAUGAGCCAUAGCCAAUGAGGUCGGGGCACAUAUGACCGUAAUCAACCGUCCAUAAAUCAUUAGCAAAUUUUAUGGUGAAACAGAGGUCAGAUUGAGGCAGAUAUUCACAGGAGCCUCUCAAAGGUAUAUAUUGAGAGAAAAAAUACAUAUCAACCUUAUAAAUGCAAACUGACAUCCAAAAUAUCCCCCUCUCUCCUGGACAUCAUUCAGACAUUCUCCCUCUGUCUGCUGAGUGUCUGCUGAAUCUUGGUUUUUGUUCUGUCAGCGAAUCAGUCUAAUGAGAAAAAGAGACCGCAGGCCCACGAUCAGAGAUGGCUCGACAGCCGCCCUCCGCCCCUUUAGAGAACACAGGGAGCCUGGGAAACCCAUCACCGAUGGUCGCCAUGACGUGCCAAAUUGGCAUCACGUUAUGGCCAAGUAUAUUUUCAUCUCCCCAGCCCAGCUCCUUGGUGCAGAUGGUGCACUGAAGCAGCUGCUCUCCCCCCUGCUAUCUGUUUUCCAUACCGAUGCUAAGUCUUGUUGUAUAAUCCAAGGUCACCAACCACCAAGGGCCUGCUGCUGUGGAAUGUGGCGAAAGCACUUCCUGCUCCCAGAAUUCUUGUCUCUCCGCUCUCACUGUAGUUUAUUUGUGUUUUGGUCCAUCUGCUGGCCCUGUGGUAUAGGGGGAGGUGGAAAUAGCUUUAUUUCUCAGCCGGACCACCCAUUUUAGAACAUAGUACAAGGAGCUCUGUUAGAGUAUUAAAAUUGUAUUGCCAGAUAAUGCCUGAUAGUUUCAGAAGAUGUAAACCAGUAAUUUAUUAAGCCUUCAGACACAUUUAUUGUGUGGAAAUGUCCUUUAUGUUUGAGCUUUUGGUGUUGGGGUCAUUGGUUAGGACUAAGAUUAUUGAUUAAUAAUUUAUUACACCUACAUGCUCAAAUUCAAGCAGUCAUACUACCUUAAAAGCAUACUUGCUUCAUCCUACUGUUCCAAUUGCUCUCUUACAUUAACACCCCUCAUUUAGUGAUUUAACACUUGUUUUACCAGGGAAGUUGACUGAAAGUUGAGCGCACAUUCUCAUACCACUGUAACAUUCCUAACUGUCCUGGUUUGUCUCUUCCUCCAGGAGGGCCACUCAGGCCAGCUGCUGAUCCUAGGGGCCACCAACCGGCCCCACGCCCUGGACCCAGCUCUCUAAAUCAAAAUGUAUUUGUCACAUGCGCCGAAUACAACAGGACUGAAUGCAUUGAGGAAUGCUCUCGGGCAGUGGCUCCCAGCCAUCGGACCUACAAUUAAUGGGGACAGGGACGGUCACUUUCCAGGACCUUCAGUGGGCCAUGUCGGAGGUCAAACCAGGUGCCAUGAGGCAGGUCGCCAUCGAUGUCCCCAAGGUGCGCUGGUCGGAUGUGGGAGGCAUGGAGCAGGUGAAGCCGAAACUUAAGCAGGCGGUGGAGUGGCCUCUCAGGCACCCCGAGGCCUUCACCUGCAUGGGCAUGCAGCCCCCAAAAGGAGUACUCCUCUAUGGACUCCAGGCUGCUUCAUGAUCACCAAAGUUCUGGCCAACGAGAACGGCCACAACUUCCUUGCCUUUAAGGUGAUGAUCAUUCAAAGUUUGAUUGUUGCCUGUUAUCUCCACCAGGUGGCCAAUUUACAGGCAGGGAAGAAUCCUUUUUAGUCUUUUCUACACCUACAGGGUUCCCUAAAUCCCACCCCUAUAAUGCAUACUUUUGUAAUGCAUCAGUUUUGCAGUUGCAUUGUGUGCAUUGCCUUCAAGCACAGUUUCUUUUGUUAUGGCUGACAUGGCAUGGACCUUUGACGUUUCCACAACUAGGGAGAUUCUACAACUAUAGAUAGUAAAACUAGUACGGCUUCUUUCCUUUUUCCAAAACAUACUGUACUUAGCUAUGGCCAGUGAUUUACCACCAGCAGCCAUUGUCUUGGCUUCACCCCAGUUAAAAAACAGGGAUGUGCCCCUGAUUAUCUCAAGGACCUCAGAAUCUUUGGCUUCCUUGGAGGCAGACCUACAGGCCUUCUCACUUGACCCCUCCGACCCCAUGUGUGUCCUUUUCAUUCAUCACCCCAUCCCGUCUUCUCCCUUCUCUCCCUCCACCCCAAUUCACAACUAUCCCCUACACCCCUCGCCCUGCUCUGUUCAGGCCCCUUGAUGGAGAUUGAUUGAUCACUUCACUGAUUGUUAAUUGAUUCUUUUGGAAGUGGUUGCCGGGUAAGAUGGGGCAGAAACUGUCAGCCAGUCUGAUUAGAUUGGGGCAGUGGUAAAAGAUAGUGGAUAGGCUGUAAUAUAACGAAGAAAGACUUACCUUUUAAAGAGUGCUUAAAGUGUAAAAUUCUCUUAAAGGUUUUUCUCAUAGAUGCUAUUUGUGAAUAACGUCCAACCCAAAUUGUUCGUAUUAUGUUACACUUGAUGUUUAAGCAAAAU